GAGGAGCUGCCUAGUAGGCUUCAUUAUUCGGUAAGUGACAGAAUUCCACCGAUAAUAGGGCUGGUUGAAGAGGGUUUUGAGGUGGAACAGAAGAGAUCAAAACAUCAAGAAUGUGGAGGAGCACAUGGCUAUGACAAUGCAUUUUUCUCCAUGAGGACGAUCUUCAUUGGUCACGGUCCGCAGUUUGCAAGGGGACGAAAGGUGCCAUCUUUUGAGAA
rnacentral:misc_RNA from 1 species